GGAGGUAUGGCUCAGGUGGUAGAGCUCCUGCUUUGCAAGCACGAAGUCCUGAGUUCAAACCUCAGUCUCUCCU